rnacentral:piRNA from 1 species
UGCUAGGGGCCAGGGGAAAGACCCUAGA